GUCUGCGACGGUCCAGAUUUAUAAGAAGCACAGAACCUCGGCACUGGUUUGGCACAAGAGCUCCAGAGCAGGACAUGUAACCAACGUUAUAAAACCUGUAUCCAGGGCUGCUCACAACUUUGCCUCUUGUGAGAUUUAACGAAGAUGAUGGUCUUAUAACGGUUUUACUAGAAGAAACAUCUCCCCCUACGUGGAAUAUACCUGUUGUGUCUCUCUGGGGCCUCACACUGCCUUUCUGAGGAAUAUAAUGAUAAACCCAGAGGGCUUUACCACAGAUCAUGGAGAGACAAGACAGGUAAGGUCUGAUGAUCUGCAUGUCGAUCCGCUGCUCCUGAUCGCCGAUAAUCACCGUUCGCCACAGACGUCCAGAUGAGUCUCUCACCUCUUCACUGUCGCCUGGAAAACGCUUGGCUGUGGCGACAGGAGUGUCGUCUAAAACAAACAAAGACACCACUCUUCGUUUGCUUUUCCUUUCUGAGUCAUGGGAAACCGCGGUUCCAAUCCCCAGCAGUCAUUGUGCAAGAUGUGGGAGAAAACCUGGACUGGUAGUGAUACGCUCAUGUAUUCAAGAACUGGACCGCUGCACAAUUCCUGUUGCUUGGAGAUGCGGCUGACGAAGGCA